rnacentral:tRNA from 1 species
AGGGCUAUAGCUCAGUUAGGUAGAGCACCUCGUUUACACGCUUCUAAACAUUCAGACAAUAAAAAGAAAAAAAUAUUG